rnacentral:rRNA from 1 species
GUGGGGAAUAUUGGACAAUGGGGGCAACCCUGAUCCAGCAAUGCCGCGUGUGUGAAGAAGGCCUUCGGGUUGUAAAGCACUUUUAUCGGGAACGAAACAUUGUCGGCCAAUACCCGGCAAGACUGACGGUACCCGAGGAAUAAGCACCGGCUAACUCCGUGCCAGCAGCCGCGGUAAUACGGAGGGUGCAAGCGUUAAUCGGAAUUACUGGGCGUAAAGCGUGCGCAGGCGGUUUGUUAAGUCUGCUGUGAAAUCCCCGAGCUCAACUUGGGAAUUGCAGUGGAUACUGGCAAGCGGGAGUACGGUAGAGGAAGGUGGAAUUCCCGGUGUAGCAGUGAAAUGCGUAGAGAUCGGGAGGAACACCAGUGGCGAAGGCGGCCUUCUGGACCAGUACUGACGCUCAUGCACGAAAGCGUGGGGAGCAAACA